rnacentral:rRNA from 1 species
UAGUACGGCGAGUGAGAGGGAAGAGCCCAAGAUUGAAAGCUGGCGUCUUCGGCGUCCGCAUUGUAAUCUCAAGAAGUGUUUUCCGCUUCGGACCAGGCCUAAGUCCCUUGGAAAAGGGCAUCAUAGAGGGUGAUAAUCCCGUACAUGGCCUGGAGCGCCCGAAGCUUUGUGAUACACUUUCUAAGAGUCGAGUUGUUUGGGAAUGCAGCUCAAAAUGGGUGGUAAAUGCCAUCUAAGGCUAAAUAUUGGGGAGAGACCGAUAGCGAACAAGUACAGUGAUGGAAAGAUGAAAAGAACUUUGAAAAGAGAGUUAAACAGUACGUGAAAUUGCCAAAAGGGAAGGGUAGGAGGUCAGAGAUGCGGCCUGGGAUUCAGCCUUGCUUUUGCUUGGUGUUUUUCCUAGGUUGCAGGCCAACGUCGGUUUUGGGCACUGGAGAAGGGUAGGAGGAACGUGGCACCCCUCGGGGUGUGUUAUAGCCUCCUGCUGGAUACAGCGACCGGGACCGAGGACAGCAGCGUACUCGCAAGAGCGGGCCUUCGGGCACCUUUACGCUUAGGGCGUUGGCAUAAUGGCCCUCUACCACCCGUCUUGA